UACAGAGGGUGCGAGCGUUAAUCGGAAUUACUGGGCGUAAAGCGCACGUAGGCGGAUUUGUAAGUCAGGGGUGAAAUCCCGAGGCUCAACCUCGGAACUGCCUUUGAUACUGCAAAUCUCGAGUCCGGAAGAGGUGAGUGGAAUUCCUAGUGUAGAGGUGAAAUUCGUAGAUAUUAGGAAGAACACCAGUGGCGAAGGCGGCUCACUGGUCCGGUACUGACGCUGAGGUGCGAAAGCGUGGGGAGCAAGCAGG
rnacentral:rRNA from 1 species